GAGUUAUUAACUUAAUUGGUAAAGUGUUUUCUUGUCAAGAAAAAAGAUGUCGGAUCGUAGCCGGCCUAACUCG
rfam:Mycosphaerella graminicola mitochondrion, complete genome.